AGCAGCCGCGGUAAUUCCAGCUCCAAUAGCGUAUAUUAAAGUUGUUGCAGUUAAAAGCUCGUAGUUGAAUUUCGGGGUUAGUAGGUUGGUCAUGCCUCUGGUAUGUACUGGUCUCACUGAUUCCUCCUUCCUGAUGAACCUUAAUGCCAUUAAUUUGGUGUUUUGGGGAAUUUGGACUAUUACUUUGAAAAAUUAGAGUGUUUAAAGCAAGCUAACGCUUGAAUACAUUAGCAUGGAAUAAUGAAAUAGGACGUUCGAUCCUAUUUUGUUGGUUUCUAGGAUUGACGUAAUGAUUAAUAGGGAUAGUUGGGGGCAUUAGUAUUCAAUUGUCAGAGGUGAAAUUCUUGGAUUUAUUGAAGACUAACUACUGCGAAAGCAUUUGCCAAGGAUGUUUUCAUUAAUCAAGAACGAAAGUUAGGGAUCGAAGACGAUCAGAUACCGUCGUAGUCUUAACCAUAAACUAUGCCGACUAGGGAUCGGAUGAUGUUAAUUUUUUAAUGACUCAUUCGGCGCCUUACGG
rnacentral:misc_RNA from 1 species